CCUACGGGGGGCAGCAGUGGGGGAUAUUGCACAAUGGGGGGAACCCUGAUGCAGCGACGCCGCGUGGGUGAAGAAGCGUUUCGGCGCGUAAAGCUCUGUCAGCAGGGAAGAAAAUGACGGUACCUGAAGAAGAAGCCCCGGCUAACUACGUGCCAGCAGCCGCGGUAAUACGUAGGGGGCAAGCGUUAUCCGGAUUUACUGGGUGUAAAGGGGGCGUAGACGGCGACGCAAGCCUGGAGUGAAAGCCCAGGGCCCAACCCUGGGACUGCUCUUGAAACUGUGUGGCUGGAGUGCAGGAGGGGCAAGCGGAAUUCCUGGUGUAGCGGUGAAAUGCGUAGAUAUCAGGAGGAACACCAGUGGCGAAGGCGGCUUGCUGGACUGUAACUGACGUUGAGGCCCGAAAGCGUGGGGAGCAAACAGGAUUAGAUACCCGAGUAGUC
rnacentral:rRNA from 1 species